rnacentral:rRNA from 1 species
UACAGAGGUCCCAAGCGUUGUUCGGAUUCACUGGGCGUAAAGGGUGCGUAGGCGGUCGGGUAAGUCUGAUGUGAAAUCUCACAGCUUAACUGUGAAACUGCAUUGGAUACUAUUCGGCUUGAGAGUUGGAGGGGGGACUGGAAUUCUCGGUGUAGCAGUGAAAUGCGCAGAUAUCGGGAGGAACACCAAUGGCGAAGGCAGCUCGCUGGGACGGUACUGACGCUGAGACGCGAAAGCGUGGGGAGCAAACAGG